rnacentral:rRNA from 1 species
CUACGUGCCAGCAGCCGCGGUAAUACGGGGGGUGCGAGCGUUAAUCGGAAUAACUGGGCGUAAAGGGCACGCAGGCGGUGACUUAAGUGAGAUGUGAAAGCCCCGGGCUUAACUUGGGAAUUGCAUUUCAUACUGGGUCGCUAGAGUACUUUAGGGAGGGGUAGAAUUCCACGUGUAGCGGUGAAAUGCGUAGAGAUGUGGAGGAAUACCGAAGGCGAAGGCAGCCCCUUGGGAAUGUACUGACGCUCAUGUGCGAAAGCGUGGGGAGCAAACAGGAUUAGAUACCCUGGUAGUCCACGCUGUAAACGAUGUCGAUUUGGGGGUUGAGCUUUAAGCUUGGCGCCCGUAGCUAACGUGAUAAAUCGACCGCCUGGGGAGUACGGCCGCAAGGUUAAAACUCAAAUGAAUUGACGGGGGCCCGCACAAGCGGUGGAGCAUGUGGUUUAAUUCGAUGCAACGCGAAGAACCUUACCUACUCUUGACAUCCAGAGAACAUUC